rnacentral:rRNA from 1 species
CUGUGGAUUGUAAACCCCUUUUGACUGGGAAGAACACAAUGACGGUACCAGUCGAAUCAGCCUCGGCUAACUCCGUGCCAGCAGCCGCGGUAAUACGGAGGAGGCAAGCGUUAUCCGGAUUUAUUGGGCGUAAAGCGUCCGCAGGUGGUUCUGCAAGUCUGCUGUCAAAGCGCGAAGCUCAACUUCGUAUAGGCAGUGGAAACUGACAAACUUGAGGGUGAUAGGGGCAGAGGGAAUUCCCAGUGUAGCGGUGAAAUGCGUAGAGAUUGGGAAGAACACCGGUGGCGAAAGCGCUCUGCUGGGUCACACCUGACACUGAGGGACGAAAGCUAGGGGAGCG